rnacentral:rRNA from 1 species
GAUGAACGCUAGCGGCAGGCCUAAUACAUGCAAGUCGAACGGUAGAUCGGGUAGCAAUACUUGAUUGAGAGUGACGUAAGGGUGCGUAACACGUAUGCAAUCUACCCUCAACAGGAGUAUAGCUCGGGGAAACUCGGAUUAACACUCCAUAACAUUACGAUGUGGCAUCACAUUGUGAUUAAAACUCCGGUGGUUGAGGAUGAGCAUGCGUCUGAUUAGUUAGUUGGAGGUGUAACGGACCCCAACGACGAUGAUCAGUAGGGGAACGUGAGAGGUUGAUCCCCACCACUGGCACUGAGAUAC